UAAGGACGCAAAUUGUCGCGAGGCGAUG
rnacentral:piRNA from 1 species